rnacentral:misc_RNA from 1 species
CAACAGCAUCUACGACUUUCUACAUAACUGUAUCUCAAAAUGACGACAGCCCCUGGUGAACCACAUGAAAGAGAGUGUGCCGUGUGCACGAAUGACUUCACCACACCAAAGAUUCUACCCUGUGGUCAUCUCCUGUGUCGAGAAUGUGUCAUUUCCUGGAUGGACGCAAAGCCUCACGCUGAGUGUCCGUUAUGUAGAUGUCCUAUAGUAGAGCACCAAGCGCAUUCAGCUCCAUCCUCAUCAGACGUUGCCGACGACCUGCCCACAGAUUAUGUGAUGGAAGCGCUGGUGCAGAACUCUGUGGUUCUAUCCAAAAAUCCUAGUUGCUGUGUGUGUGAUGAUGUCAAGGCUGACUUUCUCUGUGUCCAGUGCCUGGAUCUCUUGUGUUCAUCGUGUUCAAGGGCGCAUAAAAAACUGUCGGCGACCCGCAGUCACGAUGUGGUGAGUGUCAGCACUGUGACACCUGAACGUCUGGCUGCCAGCCGCCCUGCACUGUGUGCUGACCACGGGGAGGAGCAGCGGCAGACCAGUUCUGCUUCACCCAUAACAUUGCCAUCUGCUCAUCAUGUACACUAGCGAAACACCAGGCGUGUUCAGAUGUGAAGGAUCUGAACACUGUCAUGGCGUCGGCAGUAACAUCGCUGACUAAUCUGACAGAGAUCCUCACUGGUGUGGAGCAGAAGCUGGAAGGUGCUGUCACACAGUUGAAGUCGAGGCUCCAGGAAGUGGCUGCUAGCGAGCGAGAAAGCAUUGCACUGGUCGACGAAGCGUGCAGUCAUGUUCAAAUAAUGUUUGAAGACUGUCGAGCAAGUUAAAAGAACUGACUACUCGUGCGCACACAGAAAUCAACUGCUCGAUACAAGAUACCCACACUGCACUCGUCAAACGUCUAGGGGAAGUGACGUCACACAAACGCAUUCUAGGGCGUGCGAUGCUAGCCACUCCACGUCCAGCACUGAUACACGCCACCAGCGCCCUACACAAGAGGAUCAACAGUCUCCACCUCGAAGUUGACCUGCACCAGGAUUGGAUGCGGUAUUUGCCGACAUUUGGGAAGCUGCCACGAACUGGAACGACAGAUAGUCAAAGACCUCAAAGAGGUCGUGGAAAAAAAGGAAAUACCUGCAACUCGCCAACCUACUUUCCACACAAAUCGAGGCAACAACAUCGUGCUGUUGCAAAACAAGACAGAGGCGGAACUGGUGACUAUGGACAAGACAUUGUUCAGCAUGGGCGGCAUGGUGGUUCUUUCCGAGGCAAUGGCGCAGAACUGUCUGUAUCAGAUACGGGUUGACAAGAUGAACCGUUCAUGGAACUCAACCCACAUCAUGUAUUAUGGUGUGACAGGAACCCACCCUUCCAACCUCAAAAUACAAGAACACAUAGGCUUGGGGACUCCACAGCCUCCCUCGAGGAGGGAAAUGUGAUUGGACUGAUCAUUGACUCCUCCAACGACCUACACCUGUACUUGAACGGUGAGGACCUUGGUGUAACAGAAAAAAGUGUUCCUCGACCCUGCUAUGCUGCUUUUGACCUCAACCGUCGAGUAGUAAAGGUGACGGCACUUCCAGUUUGAUGUCGACUGUGGAUAGAGUUAUCUGACCAUGUCGGCUUGCAUAUAAUAAAGAAAAUGCAUCAUCCACAUUGCUGUGUAUCAUCACGAGUAUAUUUUUCGCACACCUAAUUAUGGAAAUGCGGUUUGUGGUGACUCAGAGGACAACAGUGUCUGGCAGGGUGGAAGUGUACCCGUUGCACUAAACUAAAACUAAAGCUAGUCACUGACAGCAUGCAUAAUUCUAUAAUUCAGUGAGCUGUGCGAAAACGAAAGCUAAAAACUUUACUUUCGAUUUCGAUUCCCAGAAGUGAGGGGUGUCUAUUACCUACAUUAUCACACCUGUCGUGUGACUCCUGAUUAGGUUACAAUCAAGACAUGUUCGCUAGCUCUGUUCGCAGCAGAAAGAAAAUUUCAAUACCUACUGACCGUUAAAACUUCGCUGUUACUGCAAAAAGUGCAACUUCCACCACGACAGAUUCUUUUCCGGAGGAGACUGUGAGUAGUCAAAAGUCACGUGUCACUUCUUGUUGUCAAAGUGACUGUGAGGUUGUCGUAACACAUGUCAGGAGAGUUCAGUAACUAAAAGUUGUUAUUUAUUAGCUCAACUCUUUAGCUUAGUCCUUUUAUUCGCUGUAGUGGCGGCACUUCCUUGAGGAACGCGACGAUUUCAAGGGAAGCUACUUUAAGGUAUCUGUAUUUGUUUUGUUCCAAGCAUUACCUCCCAUGUUAUCACCCGGAUAGCAUUUCAUCAGUGUUUUAUCAUAGAUCAGUACAAAUAAAACAAUGUA